UGACGCAGCAACGCCGCGUGGGGGAAGAAGGCCUUCGGGUUGUAAACCCUUCAGUUGGGACGAAGCUUCGACGGUGAACAGCCGUCUGGAGUGACGGUACCUUCAGAAGAAGCCCCGGCUAACUACGUGCCAGCAGCCGCGGUAAUACGUAGGGGGCUAGCGUUGUCCGGAAUCAUUGGGCGUAAAGCGCGUGUAGGCGGCCCGGUAAGUCCGCUGUGAAAGUCGGGGGCUCAACCCUCGAAAGCCGGUGGAUACUGUCGGGCUAGAGUACGGAAGAGGCGAGUGGAAUUCCUGGUGUAGCGGUGAAAUGCGCAGAUAUCAGGAGGAACACCAAUUGCGAAGGCAGCUCGCUGGGACGUCACUGACGCUGAGACGCGAAAGCGUGGGGAGCAAACAGGAUUAGAUACCCUGGUAGUCCACGCUGUAAACGAUGGGCACUAGGUGUGGGGGGUGUCGACUCCCUCCGUGCCGAAGCUAACGCAUUAAGUGCCCCGCCUGGGGAGUACGGCCGCAAGGCUA
rnacentral:rRNA from 1 species